rnacentral:rRNA from 1 species
UGGCGAACGGGUGCGUAACACGUGAGGAACCUGUCCCCGACACCGGAAUAACAGUUGGAAACGACUGCUAAUACCGGAUACCACCGGUGAGUCGCAUGGCUCGCCGAUGAAAGUUCAGGCGGUUGGGGAGGGCCUCGCGGCCUAUCAGCUUGUUGGAGAGGUAACGGCUCACCAAGGCAUCGACGGGUAGCUGGUCUGAGAGGAUGAUCAGCCACACUGGGACUGAGACACGGCCCAGACUCCUACGGGAGGCAGCAGUAGGGAAUCUUGCACAAUGGGCGAAAGCCUGAUGCAGCAACGCCGCGUGCGGGAAGAAGGCCCUAGGGUUGUAAACCGCUUUCAGCAGGGAAGAAACUGACGGUACCUGCAGAAGAAGAUGCGGCCAACUACGUGCCAGCAGCCGCGGUAAC